rnacentral:rRNA from 1 species
CAGUAGCCACGGGAAUACGAAGGGUGCAAGCGUUAAUCGGAAUUACUGGGCGUAAAGCGUGCGUAGGCGGUUUGUUAAGUCUGCUGUGAAAUCCCCGGGCUCAACCUGGGAAUGGCAGUGGAUACUGGCAAGCUAGAGUGUGUCAGAGGAUGGUGGAAUUCCCGGUGUAGCGGUGAAAUGCGUAGAGAUCGGGAGGAACAUCAGUGGCGAAGGCGGCCAUCUGGGACAACACUGACGCUGAGGUACGAAAGCAUGGGGAGCAAACAGGAUUAGAUACCCCAGUAGUCCCUGUCUCUUAUAC